GACGAACGCUGGCGGCGUGCUUAACACAUGCAAGUCGAACGGAAAGGCCCUGCUUUUGUGGGGUGCUCGAGUGGCGAACGGGUGAGUAACACGUGAGUAACCUGCCCUUUACUUUGGGAUAACUUCAGGAAACUGGGGCUAAUACCUGAUAGGAGCUCCUGCUGCAUGGUGGGGGUUGGACAGUUUCGGCGGUUGGGGAUGGACUCGCGGCUUAUCAGCUUGUUGGUGGGGUAGUGGCUUACCAAGGCUUUGACGGGUAGCCUGCCUGAGAGGGUGAACGGGGACAAGGGGACUGAGAGACGGCGCAGAGUCCUACGGGAGGCAGCAGGGGGGAAUAUGGCACAAUGGGCGGAAGCGUGAUGCAGAAACGCUGCGUGCGGGAAGAAGGCCUUCGGGUUGGAAACCGCUUUAGCCUGUGACGAAGCGUGAGUGACGGUAAUGGGUAAAGAAGCACCGGCUAACUACGUG
rnacentral:rRNA from 1 species